rnacentral:misc_RNA from 1 species
AACGCACAUUGCGCCCUCUGGUAUUCCGGGGGGCAUGCCUGUUCGAGCGUCAUUACAACCCUCAAGCUCUGCUUGGUACUGGGUGUUACCAUCUUGGUACUCCUUAAAAUCAGUGGCGGUAGCAUCUGGCUUCUAGCGUAGUAAUACUCCUCGCUAUGGAGUCUGAUGUGUACUUUGCCAUCAACCCCCAACUUCAAAGGUUGACCUCGGAUCAGGUAGGGAUACCCGCUGAACUUAA